UUUUCGGAUGGAAUUUGAUUGACUGAGUGGCGGACGGGUGGAGUAACGGCGUGGAUAACCUGCCUCACACUGGGGGAUAACAGUUAGAAAUGACUGCUAAUACCGCAUAAGCGCACGGCAUCGCGAUGAUGCAGUGUGAAAAACUCCGGUGGUAUAAGAUGGACCCGCGUCUGAUUAGCCAGUUGGCGGGGUAACGGCCCACCAAAGCGACGAUCAGUAGCCGGCCUGAGAGGGUGAACGGCCACAUUGGGACGUGAGACACGGCCCAAACUCC
rnacentral:rRNA from 1 species